AAGUCGUAACAAGGUUUCCGUAGGUGAACCUGCGGAAGGAUCAUUAACACGUAUCCACGUUAUCAACCAAUCGAGAACUUGUUUUCACGUCUCCCUUUGCAAUUUGAAUGAAUUGGAACCAGUUUGAGGGAAUUGAUGUGGAUUGCAGUCAAAUGCAAUCGGCCUUCCUGGUAUACUAACGAACACUGAAAAGUGAUUGUUGACAAUUGUAUCUUAUUGAUUAAAAGGCCAAAUUUCUUUCGCUAUUUCGAUCUCACAUCAUGAUCAAUGGAAUAGCUUGAAGGAGAAACAAAUUAUAAAACCAUUUUCACCACCUUUUUGCUAGUUGACUUUUUUUAUCUGUGAUCGUUUUGCUUUUUAGCAACUCAGUCGCACGUUUAAAUUAUUUGAACGUUAAAAAUAUACAACUCUUAGCAAUGGAUAUCUUGGUUCUC
rnacentral:misc_RNA from 1 species